AAAGGAAUUGACGGGGGCCCGCACAAGCGGUGGAGCAUGUGGUUUAAUUCGAAGCAACGCGAAGAACCUUACCAGGUCUUGACAUCCUUUGAUCGCUGUAGAGAUACAGUUUUCCCUUCGGGGACAAAGUGACAGGUGGUGCAUGGUUGUCGUCAGCUCGUGUCGUGAGAUGUUGGGUUAAGUCCCGCAACGAGCGCAACCCUUAUGACUAGUUGCCAGCAUUUAGUUGGGCACUCUAGUAAGACUGCCGGUGACAAACCGGAGGAAGGUGGGGAUGACGUCAAAUCAGCAUGCCCCUUAUGACCUGGGCUACACACGUGCUACAAUGGUCGGUACAACGAGUUGCGAACCCGCGAGGGUAAGCUAAUCUCUUAAAGCCGAUCUCAGUUCGGAUUGUAGGCUGCAACUCGCCUACAUGAAGCCGGAAUCGCUAGUAAUCGCGGAUCAGCACGCCGCGGUGAAUACGUUCCCGGGCCUUGUACACACCGCCCGU
rnacentral:rRNA from 1 species